rnacentral:lncRNA from 1 species
UUUUUUUUUUAGCAUUUUAUUUUAUUUUAUUUUUGUUGUUGUUAUUGUUGCUAUUUCUUGGGCCGCUCCCGCGGCAAAUGGAGGUUCCCAGAAAAGGCAAAAAGACAAAAACGAAAAAAUCCUCUCUUUACACCGGCCUAAUCCCAACCUGAUAGGUAUUAACAAUUUGAUGUGAAUUUUUUAUAGACUUUUCUUUCUACACAUUUAAGUAUAUUGUAUAUACACAUACAGGAUCAUAAAGAUAUAGAGGAAUACUUAUUUUUUUUAGAUAUGAGAUGAGACCAUAUAGAGCUAUGUUUUCCAAUGGGGUGAUCACUACUCAAUGGGGUUAUUUAAUUUUAUAUCAAUUAAAAUCAUUUAAUGAGUCUACAGAUAACAUAUGCUGGAGAGGAUGUGGAGAAAAGGGAACCCUCCUACACUGCUGAUGGGAAUGUAAAUUGGUACAACCACUAUGGAAAACAGUAUGUAAGUUCCUCAGAAAACUAAAUAUAGAACUACCAUAUGAUCCGGUAAUCCCAUUCCUGGGCAUCUAUCUAGACAAAACUACAACUCAAAGAGAUACAUGCACCCCUAUGUUCACUGCAGCCCUAUUCACAAUAGCCAAGACAUGGAAACAAUCUAAAUGUCCAUUGACAGAUGAAUGGAUUAAGAAAUGUGGUACAGAUACACAAUGUAACACUACUCAGCCAUAAAAAAGAAUGAAAUAAUACCUUUUGCAGCAACAUGGAUGCAACUAGAGGUUCUCACACUAAGUAAAGUAAGAAAGAGAAAGACAAAUACCAUAUGAUAUCACUUAUACGUGGUAUCUAAAAUAUGGCACAGGAGUUCCCAUUGUGGCUUAGUGGAAACAAAUCUGACUAGCAUUCAUGAGAAUGCAGGUUCGAUCCCUGGCCUCGCUCAGUGGGUUAAGAAUCCGGUGUUACCAUGAGCUGGGGUGCAGGUCACAGAUGCGGUUGGGAUCCAACAGUGCUGUGGCUGUGGUAUAGGCUGGUGGCUGCAGCUCUGAUUCGACCCCUAGCCUGGGAACCUCCAUAUGCUGUGGGUGUGGCCCUAAAAAGACAAAAAAAUAUAUAUGGCACAGAUAAACCUAUCUACAAAACAGAAACAGACUCACAGACAUGGAGAACAGAUGUGUGGUUGCCAAGGGACAGCGGGGAGGGAGUGGGAUGGACGGGAAGUUUGAGAAUUUAGAAUGGAUAAAGGGAUAAACAGCAAGGUCCUGCAGUAUAGCACGGGGAACCAUGUCGAGGAUGAUAUGAGCAAAAGAAUGUACACACACACACACACACACACGUAUAUAUAUAUGUAUAUGUAUUACUGGGUCACUUUGCUGUACAGCAGAAAUUGGCACGAUGUUGAAAUCAAUUAUACUUUAAUAAAAGAGUACAACUAUCAAGUCGACUCAAAUCAAACAUUCCGUUCCGCAGUUUCACUAACCACAUUUAAAAUGCUCAGCCUGCCACAGCCCCUGCCGUGUCAAAUGCUCAGCACGGACAGAUAUAGAACCCUUCCACCACUGCAGAGAGCUCUCGUGGACAGUAGUUGCUAUGGUGUAUUCCUAAUUAUCGAUAAAUUGGAAUUCUGUUCUCGCCCCUUCAAAAUAAUUCUUGAACCACUUUAGGCAUUGAGAAGGAAGACUCAGAAUCCACAUUCAGUGGCAGAGAUGAAAACUGGAUUGCAGAUACUUCAUUUUGUUCAAGAGCCUUUUUGAGGAGGUCCUUGUUGUAUGGUUGCGAUCUCCGCAGCAGAAUGCUGGUGUUCAAUUUGUCAUGCUCCUGUAUCUGUCAGGUUUGAAAUGUCUAGUCUUAAUGACUACAUUCAGAUGCUUUCCUGGAAGGACAGCAUUUUGGUUGGGAAAGGGAUGCAGUAAAGGUGCUCAAAAAUAAUCCCUCGAACACUUCCUCUCAAAUUCAGGCCAAAAAAAUAAAAUAAAAACAAAAAGCCAAUCUGCAUCAUAGAGACUUUGGAAUCUUUCAGCUGUCUGCCCCACAUGCCCAUUCUUUGUUCUGAUAGCUUGAUAUUUUGCCAAAAGCUCAAUCCUGGGUGGUUUAAGGCUAGGAAAUGAACAAGGAAACCGAAAGCCAAAUGAGCAUUUACAGGUAGAAGAAGCAACGUAUGAUUAUCUGGUCUCCGAGGAGCUAAUUAUAUUAGGCUGAAAUUGGGAGGAUCAUGCGAGGGCACAUGUGUACCCGCACGCACACACACACAAGCAUACGCAGGUGCAUGCAUGCACACGUAUGUGCAAAGCUCUUCGCCGGUGCCCACUUCCAAAGAAGCAGAGAGCUGCAAAGCCGCAUAAAUAAAUCAUCUGCAGGGCCCACUGGAUGAGAAGAAUCGAUCGCUCCCCAUACUGGGGUCAAGGCACUGUGUACCUGUAGCCCACGCUGACCCACAGUUGUGUAUAAAAUAUGAUAUUGAAGACAGCUUCCUACCAGCCCGCAUCUACCUGGGAGGCUCGGCAUCCAUCAAUCAUUCAUUUUCCUUCGCCUGCACCAGAACCACCCCCGGGCUGCAGACUUUGAGAAGUUAAUAGGAUUGAAAGGUAGACGGGCCCUCAGGAAACCCAGAGUCCCUGUCCUUGAAAUCAUUGGCACCUAACAGUUUUUCUAGAGGGUACUGAGCAGGAACUAAUGGACCAGAUCUAAUGGCUGAAGGGACUCUUGAUUUAAAUUAUUUUGAUGAUCCUAUAUGGACAUUAUACGCACGGCUCAGCGUGGAAUUAACCUCUUCUGACACUUUCAAGGCUCACCAAAGUUCUGGGAGGGAGGAGGCGGGAGAGAAGUGACAGAGAUGUGUCCUCUGCUGCACCAGGAUUUCUCAGCCUGGGCACCAUGGGUAAUUCUUGGUUAUGGGACGCUGCUCUGUGCACUGUAGGAUGCUUAGCAGCAUCCCUGGCCUCUGCCCAUUAGGUAUCUCCUCCCCUAACUGUGACAAGCAAAAAUGUCUCCUGAGGAGUUCCGUUGUGGCUCAGCGUAGCAAACCUGACUAGUAUCCACGAGGACUUGGGUUCAAUCCCUGGCCCCACUCAGUGGGUUAAGGAUCCAGUGUUGCUAUGGCGAUGGUGUAGGCCGGCAGCUGCAGUUCUGAUUCAUCCCCUAGCCUGGGAACCUCCGUAUGGCCUGGGUAUGGUUCCUUAAAAAAAAAAUGUCUCCAGACAUUACCCAAUGUUGGGGAAGGGGGAGGCAAAAUUGUUCCCACUUGAGACUUGCUGACUGACACACAGAGGGUCUUGCGCAUUAGGAGCAGAGCCUGUGUCACAUCUAAGAAGCCAGUAAGUCAGACUUACGCAGAGAGAUGUUAGUUUUCUUCAGUGGCCAUAAUAAGGUACCACAGACUGGGUAGCUUAAACAACAGAAAUGUACCCCAGAGGCCAAAAGUCUGAGAUCAAAGUACCAGCACAGGUGGUGCGUCCAGAGUUCUCACUACUUGGCGAACAUUUAUUUUCAAAUAUAGUCACACACUAAAAUACCAGGAGCUAGGACUUCAGCAUAGGAAUUUGGGGGCAACAAUUCAGCCCAUGACAAGAGGCAAAUCCCAGAACCACCUCUGUGAUUUUCCUGUAUCACUAAGAAUUUUGCUGCAUUAUCUGUUGUUCAUUUCGGCCCUAUUUUUUAGAAUCGGAUUCUCUCCAAUGCUCAUUUUCUUCCUGGGAAAGAAGCACUCACGGCCUUGACCAAGGAGACAAGGAGAAAGCCUUGAUCAGGUGCACAGCUCCAUCUCCUCCUUUCCCUCAAUGCAUCUUCCUCUCAGAUGGAGAGAGAACUUCCGGUUCCUUUCCCUCCUCCCAGGAAGGCUGGGGGCAGGGCCAGAUGGGAAGGACUUCAAGCUCCGAGAGCCAGCCUGCUACUCAACUCUGCCUCUGCGGCACAAAGUCAGCCACAACCUGAAUGGGUGCAGGUGUGGUCGAGGAAGACUUUAUUUCAGAAACAGGUGGGAUGAACCCAGUUUGCUGACCUCUGCCUUAGAAUGGUAUAUGCAUGAUUGGGCUUGUAUAAUUUCAACUGAUCCUGGACUCAGUGGAAUUUAAGUCAAAUCAGGGCCAUCUGGAAAAGGGACCAUCACACACCUAUUAAGAACAGCCCAGGAGCUCCCCACCCCCCCGCCAUUAUCCUCAUCUAUAACUAUGAAUGGAUGUACACAAAAUAUGUACAAGAACAACCAUUUCAAAGGGCAUUUAAGCAAAACCUUGGUUCCUUGUUUCCGUUUUCUUUUUACUGACGACGUUGCCUCCGGCUCUGGUUUCUAAUUUCUUUCCUCAUUAAAAGUCCUGUCACCCUUCCCAAGAAUAAAGUUGUUCCUUUAAAAACACCCAUCUCAUAAAAGCCCUGUGCCUGGCAGGCAUAAGAUAAAUAAGAAUGGUUCAUGAAAUCCCCCUCCAAAUAACAGACUUAUGAGAAAUAAACCUGAACUUUGAUUUCGAAUAGCUCCAAACAAAUCAUCUUCAAACUGGAGGUGAGUGUCCUUGGAGUGUGUUUUGCGGUGUCAACCCUGGGCGAACAUUCCUCCUACCUGGAGGUGUAUUUAAAACACACCUCAUCAGAGUUCCCACUGCGGCUCAGCGGGUUACGAAUUCGACUAACAUCCAUGAGGAUGUGGGUUUGAUCCCUGACCUUGCUCAGUGGGUGAAGGAUCCAGCGUUGCCCUGAGCUGUGGUGUCGGUCGCAGAUGUGGCUCGGAUCUGGCAUUGCUGUGGCUCUAACAUACGCUGGCAGCUGCAGCUCCGAUUGAACCCGUAGCCUGGGAACUUUCAUGUGCCACAAGGGCGGCCCUAAAAAGCAAUAAAAAUAAAAAUAAAACACACCUCAUCCCUCUGUUCUAUCUGCACACAAAUCAGCAGCAAAGAUCAGGUGGCAUGAUCGUGUCCUCUUUCCGCAGGGGACGUCAGCAGAGACGGGUAUGGAAUACCCCGGUUACUGCACGUUAGAAUCAACCGUCACAAAUGCAGGGUGUCACAGAGAAGUCUGGCUUCUGUACAAGGAUGCUGUGGUAGUGCUGUGGCCCACAGGCAAAGAUGGUCGUUACUCAGAGUCAGCAACAGCUCCAAUAUAUUUUAUUUUGUUUUAUUUUUUGGUCAUAUUCAUGGCAUGUGGAAUGUCCCCAGCCAGGGAUCAAACCCGCACCACAGCAGUGACAACACUAGAUCCUUAACCUGCUGUGCCACCAGGGAACUCGGCCAUGUAUAUGGAUAGGGGGAUGAAUAAAAUGUUGAGAGACAUACAUGAAUGCUACAGAAUGCUAGGACCUUGGCAAAAAGAGUGUC